rnacentral:rRNA from 1 species
GACGAACGCUGGCGGCGUGCUUAACACAUGCAAGUCGAGCGGUAAGGCCCUUUCGGGGGUACGACGAGCGGCGAACGGGUGAGUAACACGUGGGUGACCUGCCCUCAGCUCUGGGAGUAAGCCUGGGAAACCGGGUCUAAUACUGGAUAUGACUCCAUGACGCAUGUUGUGGGGUGGAGAGCCUUGUGCGGCUGAGGAUGGGCCCGCGGCCUAUCAGCUUGUUGGUGGGG